rfam:Ovis aries breed Texel chromosome 7, whole genome shotgun sequence.
UCCCCAGUGGCUCAGAGGAUAAAGCGCCUGCAUGCAAUGCGGGAGACCCGGGUUCGAUCCCUGGGUCGGGAA